rnacentral:rRNA from 1 species
AUUGAACGCUGGCGGAAUGCUUUACACAUGCAAGUCGAGCGGCAGCACGGGGGCAACCCUGGUGGCGAGCGGCGAACGGGUGAGUAAUACAUCGGAACAUGCCCAGUCGUGGGGGAUAACACUUCGAAAGAAGUGCUAAUACCGCAUACGUCCUGAGGGAGAAAGCGGGGGAUCGCAAGACCUCGCGCGAUUGGAGUGUCCGAUGUCAGAUUAGCUAGUUGGUGGGGUAAAGGCCUACCAAGGCAACGAUCUGUAGCUGGUCUGAGAGGAUGAUCAGCCACACUGGGACUGAGACACGGCCCAGACUCCUACGGGAGGCAGCAGUGGGGAAUUUUGGACAAUGGGGGCAACCCUGAUCCAGCCAUUCCGCGUGAGUGAAGAAGGCCUUCGGGUUGUAAAGCUCUUUCGGCAGGAACGAAACGGCGAGCUCUAACAUAGCUUGCUAAUGACGGUACCUGAAGAAGAAGCACCGGCUAACUACGUG